AUCCAAGUACACACGGGCGGUAAAGUGAAAGUGUGAAUGGCUCAUUAAAUCAGUUACGGUUUCUUUGGUCACUCCUCUCCUGUUCCUUGGAUAAUUGUAGUAAUUCUAGAGCUAAUACAUGCUAACGAGUGCUGACCUCCAGGGUUGCGUACAUUUAUCAGACCAAAACCCGCCCAGGCCUGCCUAGCAUAGGGACAUGAUUGCAAAGUGUGGGGUCGGACUCGAUGAUAUUGAGAGUCUCUUCCAACCAAAAUUAUUGUAUGAUUCUACUGCCUGUUAUGAAG
rnacentral:ncRNA from 1 species